rnacentral:tRNA from 1 species
UAAGUGAAAGCCAAAAGAUUGAGGCGCCUAGCUGUUAAUUAGGAGACUGUAAAAUAAAUACUCACUUAG